AUUGAACGCUGCGGCACGCCUUACACAUGCAAGUCGAACGGCAGCACGGGAGCAAUCCUGGUGGCGAGUGGCGAACGGGUGAGUAAAGUAUCGGAACGUGCCCAGUCGGGGGGGAUACAGUAGCGAAAGUUACGCUAAUACCGCCUACGAUCUAAGGAUGAAAGCGGGGGAUCGCAAGAGCCCGCGCGAUUGGAGCGGGCGAUGUCGGCAUAGGUAGUUGGUGGGGGAAAGGCCCACCACGCCGACGAUCUGUAGCUGGUCUGAGAGGACGACCAGCAACACUGGGACUGAGACACGGCCCAGACUCCUACGGGAGGAAGCAGUGGGGAAUUUUGGACAAUGGGCGCAAGCCUGAUCCAGCCAUGCCGCGUGAAGGAUGAAGGCCUUCGGGUUGUAAACUGCUUUUGUACGGAGCGAAAAGGCUCUCUCUAAUACAGGGGGCUCAUGACGGUACCGUAAGAAUAAGCACCGGCUAACUACGUGCCAGCAGCCGCCGUAA
rnacentral:rRNA from 1 species